rnacentral:rRNA from 1 species
UACGGGGGGGAGCAAGCGUUUGUUCGGAUUUACUGGGCGUAAAGGGCGCGUAGGCGGCGUGACAAGUCACUUGUGAAAUCUCCGGGCUUAACUCGGAACGGUCAAGUGAUACUGUCGUGCUAGAGUACAGAAGGGGCAACUGGAAUUCUCGGUGUAGUGGUGGAAUGCGUAGAUAUCGGGGAGGAACACCAGAGGCGAAGGCGGGUUACUGGGCUGAUACUGACGCUGAUGCGCGAAAAGCCCAGGGGGAGCAAAACGGGG